rnacentral:rRNA from 1 species
UCUUUGAAAAGCCAGGGGAUGACUUGUGGAUCGGAGUGAAAGGCUAAUCAAGCCCGGAGAUAGCUGGUUCUCCCCGAAAGCUAUUUAGGUAGCGCCUCGGACGAAUACCACAGGGGGUAGAGCACUGUUUCGGCUAGGGGGUCAUCCCGACUUACCAACCCGAUGCAAACUCCGAAUACCAGUGAGAUGUAUCAUG